rnacentral:rRNA from 1 species
AUGUUUGACAUCCAUGAGAAGUUUUGGGUCCCAAUGGCCUCACUGAAUUUUUCUGGCUCCGCAUUAGUGUGGUUGCAAUCGGUGCAGAGGAAGUUGAUUGAGUUUUAUUGGGAGUCAUUCUCGUCACUGCUGUGUACGAGAUUUGGUCGCGACCGUCACCAGCUCCUAAUACGCCAGUUUUAUUCUCUGUCACAGAAAACAUCCGUAGCUGAUUACAUUGAGCAAUUUGAGUUGAUUAUCAGUCACCUGUCUGCAUACUCUGAAUCCAUUCAUCUUUAUUAUUAUUACCUUACCCGUUUUGUCGAGGGACUCCGGGCCGACAUCCGUGCGGUGGUGCUGGUGCAGCGGCCGCCCGACCUCGACACCGCGUGCGCCCUGGCGCUGCUCCAGGAGGAGGUGGCGGAUGUGAAAGUGCAACUAAUCCCUGGGUGGUUUUGGUAA